rnacentral:rRNA from 1 species
CCUACGGGUGGCAGCAGUCGAGAAUCAUUCACAAUGGGGGAAACCCUGAUGGUGCGACGCCGCGUGGGGGAAUGAAGGUCUUCGGAUUGUAAACCCCUGUCAUGUGGGAGCAAAUUAAAAAGAUAGUACCACAAGAGGAAGAGACGGCUAACUCUGUGCCAGCAGCCGCGGUAAUACAGAGGUCUCAAGCGUUGUUCGGAAUCACUGGGCGUAAAGCGUGCGUAGGCGGUUUCGUAAGUCGUGUGUGAAAGGCGCGGGCUCAACCCGCGGACGGCACAUGAUACUGCGAGAUUAGAGUAAGGGAGGGGGAAGCGGAAUUCGCGGUGUAGCAGUGAAAUGCGUAGAUAUCGAGAGGAACACUCGUGGCGAAGGCGGGUUCCUGGACAUUAACUGACGCUGAGGCACGAAGGCCAGGGGAGCGAAAGGGAUUAGAUACCCCUGUAGUC